AUUGAACGCUGGCGGCAGGCCUAACACAUGCAAGUCGAGCGGAGCGGCGGACGGGUGAGUAAUGCCUAGGAAUCUGCCUGGUAGUGGGGGAUAACGUCCGGAAACGGGCGGUAAUACCGCAUACUAUCAGAUGAGCCUAGGUAGGAUGAGCUAGUUGGGGGGGUAAAGGCCUACCAAGGAGACGAUCAGUAACUGGUCUGCGAUGAUGAUGAGUCACACUGGAACUGAGACACGGUCCAGAUUCCUACGGGAGGCAGCAUGGGGGAAGAUUGGACAAUGGGCGAAAGCCUUAUCCAGCCAUGCCGCGUGGGUGAAGAAGUUCUUCGGAGUGUAAAGCACCUUAAGUUGGGAGGCGUUACCAACAGAAUAAGCACCGGCUAACUUCGUGCCAGCAGCCGCGGUAAUUC
rnacentral:rRNA from 1 species